CAUAAUCUCCAUAUUUAUCAUUUUUGAUUACUUUUAAUGCGUUUAAUUUUUCUAAUUUACGCAUUAUUUGCAUCAAAGUCUUUUCUAUUUUUCCAGAAUAACUUUUACCUCCAUCUUCAUCUGAUUUUUCCAGAGAAUCUGAAUCUACCUCAGAUUCACUUUCACUUUUGGUUUCAAUCGUAACUGGGAUUUGCAGUUCAUGUUGUUCUCGUUUGCGCAUGCUCCUUCCUUCACGUUUGCACACUUCUCGUUGGUCUUUUUCUUUAGAAAUGGUCGAUGUUGCUGCAGUUUCCUGUUCUGUAUCGCCGGAGGUGAAAUGUACCUGAGCCCGCCGUUCUUUGGCAGAAGUGGGCCUUGAUUCUGUUCCAACUUGCGUUGUCUUCACGAUGUACAGCUACAGAAACGGGGAAUGUUUACUGCAUUCCUCAAAAACGUUGGAAGCAAAAUCAAAACUGCAAUCAAAGAAAAAUUAAAAAACCUGGUGUUCCGGCUGAGUUAUCUACUGACCCUCUCGUGCAGUUUAAUCGAUCCCGUUCACCUCAGAGAGGAGGACAGCUUAAUGAAUGCUGAAACUCUGAACUACAACACCGGCUGUCCAUCGAGGUGUCCUGACAAUAAGGAAUUGCCAAUGAUGCUUUUACAAGUGAAAUUGCUGCUGCUCAGUUCGAAAUCCCUGCUCAUGGCUCAGUGUGAGUCCGAGAUUCCUAAUCACCUCAGCU